UGAGGAAUAUUGCGCAAUGGGCGAAAGCCUGACGCAGCGACGCCGCGUGGAGGAUGAAGGUCUUCGGAUUGUAAACUUCUGUUAAGUGGGAAGAAAGAGCCGUUUUUAAUAGAAGCGGUUAAUGACGGUACCAUUAAAGAAAGCACCGGCUAAACUCGUGCCAGCAGCCGCGGUAAUACGAGUGGUGCAAGCGUUAUUCGGAAUCAUUGGGCGUACAGGGUGUGUAGGCGGCAUGUUAAGUCUGUUGUUAAAGACUCCGGCCUAACCGGAGACAGGCAGCGGAAACUGGCGUGCUAGAGGGUGGAAGAGAGAAGUGGAAUUCUCGGUGUAGCGGUAAAAUGCGUAGAUAUCGAGAGGAACACCGAUGGCGAAGGCAGCUUCUUGGUCCAUUCCUGACGCUGAAACACGAAAGCGUGGGGAGCAAACA
rnacentral:rRNA from 1 species